rnacentral:rRNA from 1 species
UGUGAGGGUUGCUGGAGGUAUCAGAAGUGCGAAUGCUGACAUAAGUAACGAUAAAGCGGGUGAAAAGCCCGCUCGCCGGAAGACCAAGGGUUCCUGUCCAACGUUAAUCGGGGCAGGGUGAGUCGACCCCUAAGGCGAGGCCGAAAGGCGUAGUCGAUGGGAAACGGGUUAAUAUUCCCGUACUUGGUGUUACUGCGAAGGGGGGACGGAGAAGGCUAUGUUGGCCGGGCGACGGUUGUCCCGGUUUAAGCGUGUAGGUGUGUGUUCCAGGUAAAUCCGGUUCACUUUAACACUGAGGCGUGACGACGAGGCACUACGGUGCUGAAGCAACAAAUGCCCUGCUUCCAGGAAAAGCCUCUAAGCAUCAGGUAACAUCAAAUCGUACCCCAAACCGACACAGGUGGUCAGGUAGAGAAUACCAAGGCGCUUGAGAGAACUCGGGUGAAGGAACUAGGCAAAAUGGUGCCGUAACUUCGGGAGAAGGCACGCUGACACGUAGGUGAAGUGAUUUACUCAUGGAGCUGAAGUCAGUCGAAGAUACCAGCUGGCUGCAACUGUUUAUUAAAAACACAGCACUGUGCAAACACGAAAGUGGACGUAUACGGUGUGACGCCUGCCCGGUGCCGGAAGGUUAAUUGAUGGGGUCAGCGCAAGCGAAGCUCCUGAUCGAAGCCCCGGUAAACGGCGGCCGUAACUAUAACGGUCCUAAGGUAGCGAAAUUCCUUGUCGGGUAAGUUCCGACCUGCACGAAUGGCGUAAUGAUGGCCAGGCUGUCUCCACCCGAGACUCAGUGAAAUUGAACUCGCUGUGAAGAUGCAGUGUACCCGCGGCAAGACGGAAAGACCCCGUGAACCUUUACUAUAGCUUGACACUGAACAUUGAGCCUUGAUGUGUAGGAUAGGUGGGAGGCUUUGAAGUGUGGACGCCAGUCUGCAUGGAGCCGACCUUGAAAUACCACCCUUUAAUGUUUGAUGUUCUAACGUGGACCCGUUACCCGGGUUGCGGACAGUGUCUGGUGGGUAGUUUGACUGGGGCGGUCUCCUCCUAAAGAGUAACGGAGGAGCACGAAGGUUGGCUAAUCCUGGUCGGACAUCAGGAGGUUAGUGCAAUGGCAUAAGCCAGCUUGACUGCGAGCGUGACGGCGCGAGCAGGUGCGAAAGCAGGUCAUAGUGAUCCGGUGGUUCUGAAUGGAAGGGCCAUCGCUCAACGGAUAAAAGGUACUCCGGGGAUAACAGGCUGAUACCGCCCAAGAGUUCAUAUCGACGGCGGUGUUUGGCACCUCGAUGUCGGCUCAUCACAUCCUGGGGCUGAAGUAGGUCCCAAGGGUAUGGCUGUUCGCCAUUUAAAGUGGUACGCGAGCUGGGUUUAGAACGUCGUGAGACAGUUCGGUCCCUAUCUGCCGUGGGCGCUGGAGAACUGAGGGGGGCUGCUCCUAGUACGAGAGGACCGGAGUGGACGCAUCACUGGUGUUCGGGUUGUCAUGCCAAUGGCACUGCCCGGUAGCUAAAUGCGGAAGAGAUAAGUGCUGAAAGCAUCUAAGCACGAAACUUGCCCCGAGAUGAGUUCUCCCUGAGACUUAGAGUCUCCUGAAGGAACGUUGAAGACGACGACGUUGAUAGGCCG